UACGGGGGGGCAAGCGUUGUUCGGAAUUACUGGGCGUAAAGGGCUCGUAGGCGGCCAACUAAGUCAGACGUGAAAUCCCUCGGCUUAACCGAGGAACUGCCCUCCAAACUGCUUGGCUUGAGUCCGGGAGAGGUGAGUGGAAUUCCCAGUGUAGCGGUGAAAUGCGUAGAUAUUGGGAGGAACACCAGUGGCGAAGGCGGCUCACUGGACCGGAACUGACGCUGAGGCGCGAAAGCGUGGGGAGCAAACGGG
rnacentral:rRNA from 1 species